rnacentral:misc_RNA from 1 species
AACGCACGAGACCUGCGGACCUGCGGAAGGAUCAUUACCGAGUGAGGGCCCUCUGGGUCCAACCUCCCACCCGUGUUUAUCGUACCUUGUUGCUUCGGCGGGCCCGCCUCACGGCCGCCGGGGGGCACCUGCCCCCGGGCCCGCGCCCGCCGAAGACAUCAUUGAACUCUGUCUGAAGAUUGCAGUCUGAGUAGAUUAGCUAAAUCAGUUAAAACUUUCAACAAUGGAUCUCUAGAUCGG